AUUGAACGCUGGCGGCAGGCCUAACACAUGCAAGUCGAGCGAGCGGCGGACGGGUGAGUAAUGUAUGGGGACUGCCCGCUAGAGGGGGAUAACUACUGGAAACGGUGGCUCAUACCGCAUACUAUAGGAUACCCCAUAUGGGAUUAGCUAGUAGGUGGGGUAAAGGCUAACCUAGGCGACGAGCUCUAGCUGGUCUGAGGGGAUGAUCAGCCACACUGGUACGUAGACACGGCCCAGACUCCUACGGAGGCAGCAGUGGGGAAUAUUGGACGAUGGGCUCAAGCCGUAUGAAGCCAUGCCGCGUGUAUGUAUAAGGCCUUAGGGUUGUAAAGUACUGUCAGCUGGGAGGCGUUACCCGCAGAAGAAGCACCGGCUAACGCCGUGCCAGCAGCCGCGGUAAUUC
rnacentral:rRNA from 1 species